UACGGGGGGAGCAAGCGUUGUUCGGAUUUACUGGGCGUAAAGGGCGCGUAGGCGGCGCAACAAGUCACUUGUGAAAUCUUCAGGCUUAACCUGAAGCGGCCAAGUGAUACUGUCGUGCUAGAGUGCGGAAGGGGCAACUGGAAUUCUUGGUGUAGCGGUGAAAUGCGUAGAUAUCAAGAGGAACACCUGCGGCGAAGGCGGGUUGCUGGGCCGACACUGACGCUGAGGCGCGAAAGCUAGGGGAGCGAACGGG
rnacentral:rRNA from 2 species